UUGGAGGGCAAGCUGGUGCCAGCAGCCGCGGUAAUUCCAGCUCCAAUAGCGUAUAUUAAAGUUGUUGCAGUUAAAAAGCUCGUAGUUGAAUUUCGGGAUCAGUACGCUGGUCGUGCCUUCGGUAUGCACUGGUGUCACUGGUUCCUACCUUCUGAAGAACCGUCAUGCCAUUCAGUUGGUGUGGCGGGGAAUCAGGACUGUUACUUUGAAAAAAUUAGAGUGUUUAAAGCAGGC
rnacentral:rRNA from 1 species